ACUCUCUCUGAAAAACAAACAGCGUAGAAACUAAAAUUAGNACAANACAGAGAAGAUUAGCAUGGCCUGUGUAAGGGAUGAUGCNAAAAUUCAUAAAGNAUUCCAUACUUAA
rnacentral:snRNA from 1 species